rnacentral:misc_RNA from 1 species
GGGAAAAAUAGCAAACAGCCUGUUUGACAUUUCCAUUGACAGAAUUGACAAAGGGCAUUAGAGUGCAUGAUCACAAAUCCAAAAAUUGACAAACUGCAAACAAGGGCAAUGGCACAAAAGGCAUCCCAACAUCCAGGUCAUAAAUCCAUGUUGUACAAAUAAUUGUGAACAGCAAAAUAGAACACGCACUAUAAGCACUGAACAGUUUCUAUAUAGUGAAAACUAAAAGUAGAGACAUUAAUUUACAUGGGUGACCAACAUAGGAGAAUAGAGGUAAUUAAUGAUAUAGGCAAGCAUACAGACAAACAAUAUUGAAGAGACUUAUCUACUAUGUAUUUCAUGCACUUACCGGCUAGCAGUCAUGCCCAUUUCUACAGGAAUCAAACUUACAAAAUCAGUAUUUUUACCCCUUUCUAAUUAAACACACAUUUCUUCCAUGAGAAUUAAAGUUUGGCAUUUCUAUAUAACCAGAGCAAAUCCUUGACCUAGAACCUGACUUGAUCUCAACAACAACACUCUCACUCAACAGGAAAAAGGGAUCUCAAACAAUAGGAUAGCUUAAUUCAUUAAUGAUAUAGAAUUAAAACACAAUUCCAGGAUACUCAUUCAAAGAUUAGAACAUGCCCAUGGCUUAAAUAUCAAUAGUUCAGGGUUGAACUCACAUUGCCUCAGAUAUAUGGUGGUAUAUAGAUCAUCAUGAUAGUAUCAACUUAUAACUGGAGAAAAAUCUGAAGACAUUAGAAUUGAGAUCACAGUACUUGCCUGCUGCCCUGUAUCUGUAAGGGU